GUCCAACUCUUUGUGAACCCAUGGUCUGUAGCCUGCCGGGUUCCUCUGUCCAUGGAAUUCUCCAGGCAAAAAUACUGUAGUGAGUUACCAUUUCCUUCUCCAGGGGAUCAUCCUAACCCUGAGAUGGAUUGAAUCCAAGUCUCUUAAGUGUCUUGCAUUGGCAGAGGAGAUCUGUAACAGAGCAAGACUUGCCCAAGAUCACACAGCUUAAAAUGGCAUGGCUGGGAUUCCAUCUCAAACACUUUGGCUCCAGAUUCCAUAUUCUUGACCACAGCGGACAGGGAAGAUGCAAAUAAAAUCUUAAAGCAGAGCUUAAGGAAAAAGGGUGAAAAGAAAGAGAAAAGAGGAAAAUUAAG
ensembl:lncRNA